rnacentral:rRNA from 1 species
UGGGGAAUAUUGCACAAUGGGCGCAAGCCUGAUGCAGCAACGCCGCGUGGGGGAUGAAGGCCUUCGGGUUGUAAACCCCUUUUAGCAGGGAAGAAGCGAAAGUGACGGUACCUGCAGAAAAAGCGCCGGCUAACUACGUGCCAGCAGCCGCGGUAAUACGUAGGGCGCAAGCGUUGUCCGGAAUUAUUGGGCGUAAAGAGCUCGUAGGCGGUUUGUCGCGUCUGCUGUGAAAGUCCGAGGCUCAACCUCGGAUCUACAGUGGGUACGGGCAGACUAGAGUGUGGUAGGGGAGACUGGAAUUCCUGGUGUAGCGGUGGAAUGCGCAGAUAUCAGGAGGAACACCAAUGGCGAAGGCAGGUCUCCGGGCCAUAACUGACGCUGAGGAGCGAAAGCGUGGGGAGCGAACAGGAUUAGAUACCCUGGUAGUCCACGCCGUAAAACGGUGGGCACUAGAUGUGGGGCUCUUUCCAUGAGUUCCGCGUCGCAGCUAACGCAUUAAGUGCCCCGCCUGGGGAGUACGGCCGCAAGGCU